GACGAACGCUGGCGGCGUGCUUAACACAUGCAAGUCGAACGCUGAAGCUCAGCUUUUGUUGGGUGGAUGAGUGGCGAACGGGUGAGUAACACGUGAGUAACCUGCCUCCUUCUUUGGGAUAACGCCCGGAAACGGGUGCUAAUACUGGAUAUUCACUGGUCUUCGCAUGGGGGUUGGUGGAAAGGGUUUUUCUGGUGGGGGAUGGGCUCGCGGCCUAUCAGCUUGUUGGUGGGGUGAUGGCCUACCAAGGCUUUGACGGGUAGCCGGCCUGAGAGGGUGACCGGUCACAUUGGGACUGAGAUACGGCCCAGACUCCUACGGGAGGCAGCAGUGGGGAAUAUUGCACAAUGGGCGCAAGCCUGAUGCAGCGACGCCGCGUGAGGGAUGGAGGCCUUCGGGUUGUGAACCUCUUUCGCUCAUGGUCAAGCCGCAACAAUGGUUGUGGUGAGGGUAGUGGGUAAAGAAGCGCCGGCUAACUACGUG
rnacentral:rRNA from 1 species